rnacentral:lncRNA from 1 species
CCUAUUUUCUUUUUUUUCAGAUGGAGUCUCACUCUGUCACCCAGGCUGGAGGGCAAUGGCACGAUCUCAGCUCACUGCAAACUCUGCCUCCCAGGUUCAAGUGAUUCUCCUGCCUCAGCGUCCCAAGUAGCUGGAUUACAGGCUCUGUGGGAUGUGUGCAUCUCACAUGGAAGGCUCAGGACCUGUCUUUGAAUGAAUUAAUGAGGAAAUGGAAAACUUCACUCUACUGCUCCUGUAAAUGUAGAAUAAGGUACUUUUUUUUCACAUCCAUUACAACUCAGUGAGAAUUCCUUAUGACAGUUUAUAGCGCA